GAAUGUAUAGCUCAAUGGUAGAGCUGUCAGCUUUUAACUUACAGGUUCUGGGUUCAAAUCCCAGUACAUUCA
rnacentral:tRNA from 1 species